GGCUCCGCAGCGGCAGCUAAACGUUAAUGACGACGGCCGCGCUCGCAAUUUUUUGAGCGCGCACCUGCAGCGCUGGGCAAGCAGCAACUAGGAGCUAACCACUUUUCGGUUUAUCAGCUUUUCUCCGACGCAAAAAAUAAAAUAAUUAAAUUGGCAAUUAUUAAAUUGCAAGCAGCAGCCCUUUCCACCACCGCCCGCAACGCGCUUUCGCGCGCAUGCAAUAUGUGCGGGCCGCUGCUCCUGCGCGCGAGUGAGACCAGUUGAAACAGCCUGCCAUAUGCGCAUACGGACCCAUAAGCUAUAAGCGGCGCGCGUCAGUAGCUAUGUUCUGUGCCAGUCUGCUAGCAUAGA
rnacentral:rRNA from 1 species